rnacentral:rRNA from 1 species
GGCCCUACGGGUUGUAAACUGCUUUUAUACAGGAAGAAAAACUUUCUCGUGAGAAAGCUUGACGGUACUGUAAGAAUAAGGAUCGGCUAACUCCGUGCCAGCAGCCGCGGUAAUACGGAGGAUCCAAGCGUUAUCCGGAAUCAUUGGGUUUAAAGGGUCCGUAGGUGGACAGAUAAGCCAGAGGUGAAAUACUGCAGCUCAACUGUAGAACUGCCUUUGAUACUGUUUGUCUUGAGUUAUUGUGAAGUGGUUAGAAUGUGUAGUGUAGCGGUGAAAUGCAUAGAUAUUACACAGAAUACCGAUUGCGAAGGCAGAUCACUAACAAUCAACUGACACUGAGGGACGAAAGCGUGGGUAGCGAACAGGAUUAGAUACCCUGGUAGUCCACGCCGUAAACGAUGGUCACUAGCUGCUUGGACUUCGGUCUGAGUGGCUAAGCGAAAGUGAUAAGUGACCCACCUGGGGAGUACGUUCGCAAGAAUGAAACUCAAAGGAAUUGACGGGGGCCCGCACAAGCGGUGGAGCAUGUGGCUUAAUUCGAUGAUACGCGAGGAACCUUACCAGGGCUUAAAUGUUAGGUGACAGAUCUAGAAAUAGAUUUUUCUUCGGACACUUAACAAGGUGCUGCAUGGUUGUCGUCUGCUCGUGCCGUGAGGUGUCAGGUUAAGUCCUAUAACGAGCGCAACCCCUGUUGUUAGUUGCCAGCGAGUAAUGUCGGGAACUCUAGCAAGACUGCCAGUGCAAACUGUGAGGAAGGUGGGGAUGACGUCAAAUCAUCACGGCCCUUACGUCCUGGGCUACACACGUGCUACAAUGGUAGGUACAGAGAGCAGCCAGUGCGCGAGCACGAGCAAAUCUACAAAACCUAUCUCAGUUCGGAUCGGAGUCUGCAACUCGACUCCGUGAAGCUGGAAUCGCUAGUAAUCGGAUAUCAGCCAUGAUCCGGUGAAUACGUUCCCGGGCCUUGUACACACCGCCCGUCAAGCCAUGGAAGUUGGGAGUGCCUGAAGUCCGUUUCCGUAAGGAUCGGCCUAGGGUAAAAUCGAUAACUAGGGCUAAGUCGUAACAAGGUAGCCGUACCGGAAGGUGCGGCUGGAACACCUCCUUUCU